ACGGGCUUCGGUCUGGUGGCGUGUGGCGAACGGGUGAGUAAAGUAUCGGAACGUACCUUUCAGUGGGGGAUAACGUAGCGAAAGUUACGCUAAUACCGCAUAUUCUGUGAGCAGGAAAGCAGGGGAUCGCAAGACCUUGCGCUGAUUGAGCGGCCGAUAUCAGAUUAGCUAGUUGGUGGGGGUAAAGGCCUACCAAGGCGACGAUCUGUAGCGGGUCUGAGAGGAUGAUCCGCCACACUGGAACUGAGACACGGUCCAGACUCCUACGGGAGGCAGCAGUGGGGAAUUUUGGACAAUGGGGGCAACCCUGAUCCAGCCAUGCCGCGUGAGUGAAGAAGGCCUUCGGGUUGUAAAGCUCUUUCGGCCGGGAAGAAAUCGCAUGGGCUAAUACCCUGUGUGGAUGACGGUACCGGAAUAAGAAGCACCGGCUAACUACGUGCCAGCAGCCGCGGUAAUACGUAGGGUGCGAGCGUUAAUCGGAAUUACUGGGCGUAAAGCGUGCGCAGGCGGUUUAGUAAGACAGGCGUGAAAUCCCCGGGCUCAACCUGGGAACUGCGCUUGUGACUGCUAAGCUAGAGAC
rnacentral:rRNA from 1 species